rnacentral:rRNA from 1 species
AUUGAACGCUGGCGGCGUGCUUUACACAUGCAAGUCGGACGGAGUGGCGAACGGGUGAGUAACGCGUAAUCAACCUGCCCUUCAGAGGGGGAUAACAGGUGGAAACGACUGCUAAUACCGCAUACUGAAGGAGGGGAUUGCGUCGGAUUAGCUAGUUGGGGGGGUAACGGCCCACCAAGGCGAUGAUCAGUAGCCGGUCUGAGAGGAUGAACAGCAACAUUGGAACUGAGACACGGCCCAGACUCCUACGGGAGGCAGCAGUGGGGAAUUUUGGACAAUGGGCGCAAUCCUGAUCCAGCCAUGCCGCGUGUCUGAAGAAGGCCUUCGGGUUGUAAAGGACUUUUGUCAGGGAAGCGGUACCUGAAGAAUAAGCACCGGCUAACUACGUGCCAGCAGCCGCGGUAAUAC